rnacentral:rRNA from 1 species
UCAUGGGAGCGCGCUCUGCGCGCACCGGCGGACGGCUCAGUAACACGUCGGUAACCUACCCUCGGGAGGGGGAUAACCCCGGGAAACUGGGGCUAAUCCCCCAUAGGCCUGAGGUACUGGAAGGUCCUCAGGCCGAAAGGGGCAUCUGCCCGCCCGAGGAUGGGCCGGCGGCCGAUUAGGUAGUUGGUGGGGUAACGGCCCACCAAGCCGAAGAUCGGUACGGGCCAUGAGAGUGGGAGCCCGGAGAUGGACACUGAGACACGGGUCCAGGCCCUACGGGGCGCAGCAGGCGCGAAACCUCCGCAAUGCGGGCAACCGCGACGGGGGGACCCCCAGUGCCGUGGCAUCGCCACGGCUUUUCCGGAGUGUAAAAAGCUCCGGGAAUAAGGGCUGGGCAAGGCCGGUGGCAGCCGCCGCGGUAAUACCGGCGGCCCGAGUGGUGGCCGCUAUUAUUGGGCCUAAAGCGUCCGUAGCCGGGCCCGUAAGUCCCUGGCGAAAUCCCACGGCUCAACCGUGGGGCUUGCUGGGGAUACUGCGGGCCUUGGGACCGGGAGAGGCCGGGGGUACCCCUGGGGUAGGGGUGAAAUCCUAUAAUCCCAGGGGGACCGCCAGUGGCGAAGGCGCCCGGCUGGAACGGGUCCGACGGUGAGGGACGAAGGCCAGGGGAGCGAACCGGAUUAGAUACCCGGGUAGUCCUGGCUGUAAAGGAUGCGGGCUAGGUGUCGGGCGAGCUUCGAGCUCGCCCGGUGCCGAAGGGAAGCCGUUAAGCCCGCCGCCUGGGGAGUACGGCCGCAAGGCUGAAACUUAAAGGAAUUGGCGGGGGAGCACUA